CCGCGCGGGCCAGUUAGAAGGGUUCGGGUCGCCCUGGUCAGCGGCCCGCCGCACGCCCCCUGCCCCACGCUGAGGAGAUCCGCCUCGGCUCCGAGCCCCGCGUUCUCCGUCACCAGCUUGACCCAGAUUCUUUGGCCCCUGGUGCGAACACCUUCUCUUCUCCGUCCCGUGGUGUACUUACUGGCCUUGGAAUCUGAGAGCCCCGGUGUUCUCGUCUUCUCACGUUCCAGACGCUUGACUUAACGUUGGUGUGGGGGUUUACGUGGGUGGCCUCUCUUUCCCAGUGACUUGCAUUUAGAGAGUUGAUGCUCCAUGGUUUUCAGCCGCAACACGCACCCACUCAGCACUCCGAGAAAGUGCCGUCCAUAGAGUGCUUUUUCAAAAGGAGGGUUGCUUAUAUUAAGGCAUGGCUUAGGAGUGUUAAGGAAGGGCUAGAUAGGAAAUUUUUUUUAGUCUUCUAAGUAACCUAGUUUUCUUAGUGCCCUCUCCGAAGGAUAGGAAUCUCUAGGUUGGUUUGCCGAUUGUCUUUCAUCAGAUUAAAUGCUCCUACGGUUGUGCAGAAACUAUUGUGAUGACCACAUUUACAAGAUUUGUGUGCCUGAAGGAGACUGUCUCGAGCUGAACAGCGCUGACACUCAGAAAAGGCACUUGGAAGAACAGUUUUUACCUAUAUUUUUCCUAGUUCACAAGUCUUAUUCUAACUUUCCUGUCUUUCACUUGAGCCUACAUAAUUGCACUUGGCUUGGAGCCUUGCCAGCCCAGCAUUUGCCAGGCCUAGGCUUCUCAGAAAGAUUCAUAUUGUCUUCAGGAUGCAAAGCCUGACCGACACCAUCUUCUGUGUGGCAUGACCUUAUGAUCAGGAAAGGAGAGCUCGAGUUACCACAAAACCACCAGUCAUGGGUAGAAAUCAGAGUUUGGGCUGCCAGCUCUCCGGUUCCCACCACCCCACACACACCCUCCCCCGCGGCUGCCCAGCUGUUUCCAUUGCGCAUUUGACCAAGCUCUCUGCUCUCAGAGAAUUGACCUCCCAGAAAAUGACAGUCAUCUCCAGGAUAGAAAUAGGCUUUUGUUAGCUGUGAUUUUCCUUUUAUAGUGUGGGUGUAUGUUUUACUGUUUAAGCAGUGAGCCUUAGUGGUCAUUCACUUGCAUUUCUACUUGAGCCUUUUUGUUUUGUAUGCUGAGGCCCAUUUUUACAUUGCUCUUGUCCGUUGGGUUGUUUUGAGGCAGUGCUGUCUAUUCAGCGCUGAGACAGUUGAUUCAGGGCUGAUUAUAGUUUGCCUGUUAAGUCAGUUUAUCCCUUCAUUUUAAUAUCUCAAGACUGCUUAAAAAAAUUACACUUUAUAGUAGUUUUUUGCAGGGGGUAAUUUAUCAGAGUAUAAAUUAUAUCUGUGUUACAGCUGCUCUUUUUCAUCUAUUUGUAAAGUUGGAAUUCAGAACAUGAAGGUAAUGCAGCAGAUACGGUUUCUGUCUCAUGAAGGAGUUGAUAAUAACUAUGAGUUAGCUUUAGCCACAGAUGUGAACUUGCCAGAAAGAGUAAGGCUAAUUCCCUUUAGUCAUAGUAGUAGUGUUCUGCUUCAAAUGACAAAAUGUAUAAGGUACUCAUUCUCCUCAGUUUUCCCCCCUUUGGUUCUGAUGAAAGAAUGUCCCAGAGAUUCACUCCUGGAUAACGAAAUCCUGAGUAAGGAGUCUGAGGUUGAGGGUGGAGGGAAAGGGGCUCAUUUGGAAGAGUGGGAUGCUAGCAGUUAUGUGCUGGAAGAGAAAACAGGAUGUUGAUUCACGUGUAAAAAUCUCCAAACCCAGACUUCAUAGUUAAGACUGAUGGACGCACACCUCAAAGAUAUUCACAGGGCUGGACGCACCUACUGGAAGAUUUCCUGCUGGGCAUAUUUCUCGUGUUUAUUGAGCACUUGGGCUUGCAGAGUAGUGCUUGGGUCGUGUUGGGUGGGGAGACUUAAUGGGGAGGAGUUCCCAGACGUCGAAGGCUGGAAUCUUUCAGGAGCCUGAUGGGUUCGGAGUUUGCUGGGAGAGUGCCUAGAGCUUGCUAUUAAACACAGAAUGUCUGGCAAGGACCUCUGUCAGGAAGCCUGGGGGGAAAGGUGGUGUCAGGAUAUUUCUGUGGAGGAGUGCUUCGUUCAACAGCGGACAGCCAGGUUGUUAGGGGCGCGGGGAGCCAGGCUGUCUCUGGGCCCCACUGCUCACUGCUCUCUCGCCUGCUGUUCUGACCUGGGCCCCCGGCGGCCGUGACGUUCUCUCUGCAGUUAGCCCCAGUGCGAGUUCUCACUUCCUCCUGGUGCUUCCCCAGCAGGGCCGGGACUGCGCCCUUCAUCUCGGCCUCUGUUCAUCUGCUGUCCUGGGCCAUUUUUCUCUGCCCUCUUCCAUCGGGAACGGGCCAGGUGUAGCACCUCUUCCCGGAAGUGCUGUGCAAAUACCCGGCAUGUGAUUCACUUGGGCUGUCUCUCUAUUCCACGGUUCCUGGCCCAGUGGCAUUGUUGAAAACAGGUUUGAGUUUGUUCAGAGUUAAGUCCAUCCCUGCUUCGGUGGGGAGAUGCUUUAGGAAUUAAAGGGAAACAGGAAAUACUACUUGGUGGUUGGAAACCACUCAGAUUAAAUAGGAUUUGCAGGGGAGGGGCUUCAUUCUCUGCCACUGAGCCAGGUCUGGAGAAAACUGCGUUUCUCAUCAGCCUUUGCCCUUCAGCAGGGCCCUUGUCCUAGUUUUGGGGCUGCAGGUGUGGGGGCAUCAGGUGGGUCUCUGAGAGGUGGGCUGUCGAGGUGUUCUGAUGACAUGCUGUAUCCUACACAGGUCUUGGCCUGUGCUGACCCCCAGGUGUUGGCUAGAGUUUCAGGAUUAGAACGAUAGUGAAAGGAGUUUCACAGACAGGGCUAAGUGACGGGGGUGUGGGUGGAAGGACUAUCUUUUAAGCUGCUUGGCAGGAGAAGUGGGGAUUACUUAGAGUGAAACGCCAGAUUAUGUUCUGUGUGACUUAAGUCAGAGGCGAAAGGCUGUGAGCAUCGUAGCUCCACCGAGAGGGCUGGGGUUCUGGUGUGAGGCAGGAGCGGUGGUCCCCAGGGGCUGUGCGUUUCAUCUCACACUUUGCUUGAGUUCCGAGCCCGUCCUCAGCCCUGGCCCCGGGCCUGGCUCAGGCCCCUGGCGGGGGAUGCCCCAGCGCAGGGGGUGGCUCACUCGCUGAGGAUGCCGCAGUCAUCUCUUCACAAGGCCCCUUGGCCCUGACCAGCCCACGCGUCAGAGCAGGGAUGUCCUGAGAAAGGGCUUGCUUCUAGGGGAGAGCUGCUUCAGGCCAGUGGACUCGGCUGCUAGCCGUCCGAGGGUGGCCAGGAGGAAGUGGUCGUCUGCUGCAGAGCAGUUCCUCUUUCUGCCGACAGCUCGGGCGGCCUUCACUCACUCUUGGCCAGCGGGACAGUGACUGGCCUCGGUUUCCAGCAGCGGUCAGAAAGCUGUGGUCCACCUGCCUGUUUUGCAAAACAGAGUUGUAUGAGAACAUAGAGAUGCCAGCUCCUGGGGCUUGGCCGUGGCCACAUUCCCCUGGGGUGGCCGCGCUCGACUGCUUUCCGGAGGUGCCCGAGGACUGCAGUCACUGGGCCAACCAUCUUUAAACGCACUGACUCUGCCUGGUACCCAGGGCACAGUCUGCGCGGCCAGGACACCCGCGGGCUGCCUCGAGCACAGGACGCUUCCCAGGCCUCCGCUGGGCAGCUCUCCUCAGCCUGCAGAGCGCCCAGCACAUUGUGGUCUAGAGUUGGUGGGCUGCGGGGCGUUUUCCACGGUGGCCCACUUAGACUCAGGCCUGACUUUGACUCCACCCACAACCCAACCUGCCCUUAUGUGGGUUGGGUUCCUGGACCUCUCUGAGCCAGAGUCCCAGGGGAGUUUGAGGACCAGGGAUGCAGGCGUCAGCUCCCCCGCCGGGUGCCCCACGCUGCGUCAGCGACGGCGCAGGAAGUAGAGAUGGCACUCCCUGGGCUUUAUUUACCUCCGCACUUUGUUUUUAGAAAGAAUGUCCCAAGAAUUUCU